rnacentral:rRNA from 1 species
CCUACGGGAGGCGGCAGUGGGGAAUUUUGGACAAUGGGCGCAAGCCUGAUCCAGCUAUUCCGCGUGUGGGAAGACGGCCUUCGGGUUGUAAACCACUUUUGUAGAGAACGAAAAGUCUGUUGAUAAUACCGAUAGAUGAUGACGGUACUCUCAGAAUAAGCACCGGCUAACUACGUGCCAGCAUCCGCGGUAAUACGUAGGGUGCGAGCGUUAAGCGGAAUUACUGGGCGUAAAGGGUGUGCAGGCGGUGUUGCAAGAUGGAUGUGAAAGCCCCGGGCUUAACCUGGGAAAGCCAUACAUGACUGCAAGACGAGAGUGCGUCAGAGGGGGGUGGAAGUCCAAGUGUAGCAGUGAAAUGCGGAGAUAUUUGGAAGAACACCGAUGGCGAAGGCAGCCCCCUGGGACGCAACUGACGCUCAUACACGAAAGCGUGGGGAGCAAACAGGAUUAGAUACCCGAGUAGUC